rnacentral:rRNA from 1 species
UUGGAGGGCAAGUCUGGUGCCAGCAGCCGCGGUAAUUCCAGCUCCAAUACCGUAUAUUAAAGUUGCUGCAGUUAAAAAGCUCGUAGUUGAAUUUCGGGACCAAUAUGCCGGUCGUGCCUUGGUACGUACUGGCAUCGUUGGUUUCUCCCUUCUGACGAACCAUGAUGUCAUUUAUUUGGUGUCGUGGGGAAUCAGGACUGUUACUUUGAAAAAAUUAGAGUGUUUAAAGCAGGC